rnacentral:rRNA from 1 species
CAAUAGCGUAUAUUAAAGUUGUUGCAGUUAAAAAGCUCGUAGUUGAAACUUGGGCCUGGCUGGCGGGUCCGCCUCACCGCGUGCACUCGUCCGGCCGGGCCUUCCUUCUGAAGAACCUCAUGCCCUUCACUGGGCGUGCUGGGGAAUCAGGACUUUUACUUUGAAAAAAUUAGAGUGUUCAAAGCAGGCCUUUGCUCGAAUACGUUAGCAUGGAAUAAUAAAAUAGGACGUGCGGUUCUAUUUUGUUGGUUUUUGGAAUCGCCGUAAUGAUUAAUAGGGACAGUCGGGGGCAUUAGUACUCACAUGCUAGAGGUGAAAUUCUUGGAUUUUGUGAAGACUAACUUCUGCGAAAGCAUUUGACAAGGAUGUUUUCAUUA